UGGGACCGCUGGCAGCUGGAGC
rnacentral:misc_RNA from 1 species